ACAAGGUCGUUUCCCAGGACCAGCAACCUGCAGGUUUGGCCGCCACUGGAUGGCUGGUCACAAACUUUCUGAGAAGUCAGGCUGUUUUUUUGGGGGGGGUGGGGAUUGAGUGACAUUGGGAUUUCACAGAAAUCUGACGAGCCACUUCCUAGGAAAACGGCGCCUGUUGCUGCCUAAUGAGCAGAACGGGUUAUAAAAGGGUCUUAUCGGCACUGAAGAUCUGCCAGACCAGCCUCAGCCAGGCCGGCGGUGGACGACGAGCGGAUUUCGCUGGAUUCCACAUCUGUAUGUGACAGCGGUAUUCUGGGUAUUAUUUUAAUGCUGUGUUUCAAAGCCUGAAGCGUGAAUGUUUUCUGAAGGGUGAUGUCUAGCGAGAGGCCACCCAGAGCUUCACAGAGACAGGUGUCUACCUAAUCGGACUUUGCAGACGUAAGGGAUGGCUGAUUGGAUCAGAGACCAUGCAGAAUUCAUUGCAAAGGAGGAUAUUACCAGCAUGAACAAUCGGUCUGAGCGUACCACCUCAUCAAUGUACAGCCAGCCAUUGGGGGCGGCAUCUGCAGCAGGGAGGCUCUUACCCAGUAAGCUGUAGGUUUGAGUCCCAGGAGGAGCAUCGCAUGUUUUGCUGGUAUGAAAGACUGUAAAUUAUCAUAUAAUGCAAAAAAAAUAGAAAGAAAUAAGGGCCACUGUCGAUAGGAUUUAUCGUAAGCUGUCAAUCACUGACCGGGUUAACCUCAUUGGUACAGACAACAGGGUUUUUUUGUGAUUGAUGGCUCUCUGAGGCUCCGCCCACCACGGGCUUCAGAGCCCCACCUCCCUGGCUGAAUAAACCGGUGGGCUAAUGGUCUUUUCCAGAUGUAGGUGUUUAGCGAAUCCCCCAUGAAAAUGUGUCAUAACUCUACUUUCUGCCAGGAUUAUUUAUACUUUGUCAAGUUUCCAAGUUUCUGAGAUCAUCCCGGAAUGUAAAAAGAAAACUCACAGAUACACCAGCAACCAUCGUAUUAGGUACUCCUGUCUAGCAGCAGGGAGCAGGCAUUUUUCGGCAUUCUGAACAACACACGCAUUUGAGGAAAUCAACAACAGACGGAUUCGAGGAAAACUCCUGUUAAUCAUUGUCCACUUCCCGCAGCCCACUAAGUGUUUCUGCUUGGGUGGGUAAGCCUGAAACUUUAUUCCUGUUGUCGUUUUUCAGUCUGGGUCACCUGCUUCAGGGGCGCUGCUAAUGAUUGUGGGCCCCUUGAAUGCAUAUCAUAUUGCCCCCCCCCCCAAGUCAAGAUCAAUCCAGUCAUAUUUUCAUCAUUAUAUUUUUAGGGCCCCUGUCACUCAGGGGCCUUUGGAAUCUUCCUGGGACUCAGUUCCAGAUUUUAAUCAAGAGUUCAGUCAUUUUCACAGUUUCAGUGCGUCACUUAAACAUACAGUGUUUGGGUUUGGUCACCAUUGGCCACAUAAGUACCGGGGAUCUUAUCUCCAGCUCCGAUAAAGCACUAAAUCCACAACUCAUUUUAAAACACAAAAACUAAAUGAAAAAAGGUAACACACAGAAUGAACCUGUCACGGAACGGGGAAACAGGAGCCGGAGUUGCAGGAUCAGCGAAUGAGGGAUUUAUUAGGAAAGUCACAUUGAACACGAGGAAAAAGCAGGCAGUAACGUCAAUGACAGGACUAGGGAGACAUACUCGAACGUGGACUGAAAUACACAGGAUGAAUUAACAACAACAAGAAACAGCUGGCAACAUGGGGAUUCCAUAUGAGGUAGUGAGGGGGCGUGGCACACGGGAGGAUCGGACGAGCAGGUCAUGACAGAUCCUCUCUGUCUGAACUUCACAAAUGUUUUUCCACUGGGGGCUGGAUUCCGUCUGCCUGUGGGCUGCACCUGGUUCUGUGCUUUAGGACACUGUGUCCGCUAUCAGAAAGUUGUCUGUUCAAAUCCCAUGGCUAAAUGCUAGCUGAACCCGUACUGUGAUCCAUUCAAAUCCCAUGCCUAAAUGCUAGCUGAACCUGUACUGUCAUCCAUUCAAAUCCCAUGGCUAAAUGCUAGCUGAACCUGUACUGCGAUCCAUUCAAAUCCCAUGGCUAAAUGCUAGCUGAACCCGUACUGUGAUCCAUUCUUCAUUUCAGCUGUAUGCGUCUGUCACAGAGCAAGAUGGGAUAGGUGAAAAGGCAAUCUCUUCUUUAUUCUAUAAAUAAUUUAAGGAAAAGACAAAAAAAUAACUACCUAAAAAAGAAGCUUUUCUAAUUAUAGUAUGGCUGUUGUGUUUAGAUCAACGUUAAUUGCAGUGCUGAAUGACACAAAGUCUCAAAAAAAAAAAAAAUCAGUUAAACCAAAUGCUUGUGACCAGUGCUUGUUAAAAAGAUUGCCAGUCUAUGUGAGGAGUGAUUCUGCACAGCCAUUGUCGCUUUUAUAGUAAGUGUGAUAACAUAAUGUAAUUUUAGUUAGAUUAGUAAUUUUUCCAUAUUACACACUCCGACACACAAGUUAAAUAUAACUUAACCCUCCAGUGUGGGCUUUUUAUUUUUUUCCCUCCGAUUAUGUGUGAAUGGCACAUGAUGGAUGACAUCAUCAUUGGGGGACAUGAGCCUCACGUUGCAGCGAGAAGCUGGUGUGGCCAAGUCAGCCUCAUUGUAUCCAAGACGACGCGGACACCCAGACCUGUGACUAAGACUGAUUGUGCUAGUUUCCAGCUCUACAUCUCGCAGUGGUGGGGUUUUCGGAGGAGGCACUUUCAUAUCCCUUUUCUGAUGCUGUUUCAGAACAUCUCUUUAAUUAAACAGGGUUGGUUCAUGUGGACAUGUCUGCCUGACUGGCAGUCAGAAGCAUCUAGUCGCUGGUCCACAGUAAUGGGUGAAUUCCUCCUCACAAACCCAAUCACACAGACUCUUCAUUGAUGCUGUAAGCUGUCUCUGCCACUCUGUUUAUGAGUGUGAGUCGUGUGUCUGAGUGUCGGUUGUGGUGUGAUGCUGUUCGGUCUGUGUUUCGUUCUGUCUCUGUUCCUGUCUUUACGAGUGUGUCAGAGUUCAGGUGUGUUGGUGUGUGCCAUUGUGUGUUUGUGUGUACCAUUGUGUGUUGGUGUGCACCAUUGUGUGUUGGUGUGCGCUAUUGUGAGUUGGUGUGCGCUAUUGUGUGUUGGCGUGCUUACAUGUAAGCAGCCCAGGUUCUCUGUUUGACAGUUUAUCACUGUUGAUAGUUUUGACUAACACAGAUCACCAUUACAAAUAUAUGAAUUUCAUGUGUACUGAAUCUAUAUUUAAAAUAUGUAAGUAUUUAUGAUCUCACACUUUAACACAUGAAAGGGAAAACUUAACACUUAACUCAUAGGAAGAUUAAUAAUAGAGCCUGGAUACAUGACACAUUCUGAUCGCCCACAAGAGUCAACAUGACACAUAAGAAGGACCUAGAAAGUACUUGUCAGCAUGUAGGGAAUCUGCAGUCAGUGACUGACAGGGGGUGGGACCAAGAGGCAGGUUGUCCAGUGUGUGAUGAGUAUGUUACAGUGAUUGGCAGGGGGUGGGACCAACAGGCAGGUUGUCCAGUGUGUGCUGAGUAUGUUACAGUGAUUGACAGGGGGUGGGACCAAGAGGCAGGUUGUCCAGUGUGUAGUGAGUGUAUUAGAGUGAUUGACAGGGGGUGGGACCAUUAGGCAUGUUGUUCAGUGUGUAGUGAGUAUGUUACAGUGAUUGACAGGGGGUGGGACCAACAGGCAGGUUGUCCAGUGUGUGAUGAGUAUGUUACAGUGAUUGACAGGGGGUGGGACCAACAGGCAGGUUGUCCAGUGUGUAGUGAGUGUAUUAGAGUGAUUGACAGGGGGUGGGACCAUUAGGCAUGUUGUUCAGUGUGUAGUGAGUGUAUUAGAGUGAUUGACAGGGUGUGGGACCAUUAGGCAGGAUGUUCAGUGUGUGGUGAUCGUGUUAGAGUGAUUGGAAGGGGGUGGGACUAACAGGCAGGUUGUCCAGUGUGUGAUGAGUGUGAUUCAGUGAUUGACAGGGGAUUGGACCAUUAGGGAGGUUGUUCAGUGUUUGAAGCAUCUCAGCAGUUGAGAAGGGUGGGGCCAUGCACACGCAAACGGACAUAUACACUCUCACAGACAGAAGAACACUUAUGCACAUAUUAAUAAUUGCUGGGACAUUGACUCAUUGCCUCUCAUCCUAAUGAAUUUAAUGAUCUCUGACCCCAAUCCUCCAAAACUCAAUAACAAAUGGAAUCCAACACGGUGGAGUAAACCCAAAAUAUGUUUUUCAGAAGUACAUUGACAUGCACACACACUAACGCUUUAAUUGCCUGCAUUAGAGAGGACCAACCCGGUAACUGACAAUAAAUGUCCCUUUUCCACAGUUCAAGAAAACUCAGGGAAAGGUCAGAACUGAGCCCUGUAUUUUCUGUUGUUCCUCAUCUGACCAAGAUCUCCAACAGGGUGGGUGUGGAGAGGCAGCCCUGCCCUGGCCUACCCUGCCCCCACGACCCCCACGACCCCCACCUGGAGACGGGCUCUGAAGAAGAGGGAAGGGGGCCAAAGCUGAUCACAAGCAGAAAGAAUUUUCAUUCGAUUAAUGAUGUUUGGGGGGAUAAUGCAUGAAGUCUGUGUUCUCGGGUUGUUGUGCACAACACUGGGGAGCGUCUUGUCUCCCUUCCUAUUCACCUCCCACAUGACAGACCUCCAGCUCCAGCUCACGCCUCCUACAGGCGUCCUCCAGUGACUCCUCUCUCCAGUGACUCCUCUCUCCAGUGACUCCUCCAUUGUGGAGCACAUCGGCGAUGGAGGUGAGUCACAGUAUAUGGCGGGCUUUGACUCGUGGGGCAGGAAGAAGCACAUGUAGCCCGAUUCCGGUCAGUUGACACCAAACAACGGAACAAACUCAUCAGGGGAAUGAAUCUACCUUUGGGGUCAAUAAAGUAAAUCAUCUAUCUAUCCAUGCAGCUCCAUGCACUAGCCAGGCAGCUAAAAGUCUCUCAGCGAACAGCAUUUCUGUGUGAGAAGCAUGAGAAUUAGCUCUAGAGGAGAUACUGAUGACUGUUUGCUAAAGACCUCCUACCAAAUCUUUUUUUCCCAUCUCCUCUCAAGAUGAACCACAAGGGAUAGAGAUUUCUGGAAGCUGGGCAGGUGUGUCUUGUGCUGGUACCACGAGACCUCUUUUGCGGGCAGCACUGUAAGAUGUGUGACCCCGGUCUGAGACUGGUUAUUCUGAGUGUCAAUUAAAUGUUGUUUUACUCUGAAA